GGAGAGAUGGCCGAGCGGCUUAAGGCGCACGCUUGGAAAGCGUGUGUACGUUAAUAGCGUACCGAGGGUUCGAAUCCCUCUCUCUCCGCCA
rnacentral:tRNA from 42 species